AAUUGUCCGCCAGAGAAUUACGGGCGAAAGCCUAAAACUCAAAAGACUUGACAGUGUCCCAACCCUGCCUAGAGGAGCCUGUUUCAUAAUCGAUAACCCCCGAUCAACCUAACCUUCCCUUGCUUAAACACUUCAGCCUAUAUACCGCCGUCCACUUUUUCGCUUACCUUUUGAAAGAAAAACAGUAAGCCCAAUAGUCACUAUAACUAGAAAGUCAGGUCAAGGUGUAGCUUAUGAGAAGGUGAAAAUGGGCUACAUUUUCUAUAUUAGAACACUACGAAAAGCAUCCUGAAAAACAUGCACAAAGGUGGAUUUAGCAGUAAG
rnacentral:rRNA from 1 species